UUUCGAUAAAGGUAACUCCAUUAUAAAACGGGGACGCAAAGCCAAGGGCGGUUGAUCAAGAGAAUUGCUGGGCUGCCGAA
rnacentral:ncRNA from 1 species